rnacentral:lncRNA from 7 species
UGAAGUACACAGAACGGAGAUUAAGUUGCAUUUCAGCCACCCUUUCCUUUCUUACCAAGCACUUUGCGUAGGAGUGGCAGCCCCUUUGUUAACUGAUGGGAAGAUAUGAGUUUGUGCUUCUGGUACAUCCCUACUGGGGGAACAGUCCUUCCAGAACUCCCAGCAUCUCCUCUCCACUGAGGUGCUCAGCAAUCCUUCAGCUAGAAGAGGUGGAAAGAGAAAAGGACACGUUAAAUAUGCAGAAGCUGCGUCACCUCCCUUGACAGACAACUUUGGAGAUGUUUCCUGUAUGUGGGGCUGCCUAAGAGUCUGCAGACAGUUGGAGCCAGCCCGGAGCUCCCAGAAAUCACGAGGGAAGCCAGGCUGUGCAGCCACCUCCCAGGGAUAUCACAAGUCCCUGCUGGGUGCAUGCAUGGUGCCACGAGGACCUCUGUUUGUGCAGGACCAUUGCUCUGUGAGUGCUUCCCCUGCUGCUAUUGCAGCUCUCUGCAAGACCUCAUAUUUCUCAACCGAUUUCCUUCCAGCCCCACAUUUGCGAGUGCUGAGGGCUGUGGCAAUUGAGUGAUCAAGCACUCUCCCUGCCAGCAUUUUCUACCCGGGCCUCGUGCUGACCCUCAGGGUUAUCAGAAAAGCCUUUCGUCAGACGUCAGCCGGAGCAGAAAUUGGCAUGGAGACAGCGCUGCAAUUCUGUAAGGCGUUGCAUUGUACUGGCAAAGGUGGAGAAUGCAGCCCUGGCAUUUAUGGUGCAUCAGCCCACGCAUGGUCACAGUGCCUGACGACGCAAAGAAGAAUUGCGGCUGUAAAAUUGCCCAUAGCAGCUGAGCAUCCACUUUGCCUUGCCUCAUCCUCAGGAUGCGGGGCGCUCUCUCAAGGAGCAGUUUCUCGCUGGUUUAACAGCCUGCAGGACCGCCCAGCUGCACGUUGCAGAGGACGCUUGGCUGUGAGAUCCCAGCCCCAUGCCUAAGGGGUGCGUGCACACAAAAAUGGGGCCACCUAAGCCAGAUACGGGCUAGAUGGGAGGGUGGGGGACAGCCCUCCAGAAGAAAGGAAGCUGUAAGUAGAGCUGCCUCCUUGCUUGGUGCCGCCUCCAAGAGCCCCCAGGGCAGUGGCACAGCCUGGCUGCAGCCCCCAGCAGACCCUUGGGGCACGGCCACAGAGGCUGCUGGAAAAUGAAACUUCAGCCCUGCUGGCAGCCACCCAAUUUCAACAAUUUUUUGUUUCGUUCUUGAAAGAAGGCAAAGGGGGAAGCUUUGUUUUCUCCCGGGCUUCUCAGAAAUGCUUAUUUGGGAAUGGGGCAUUUUCAAAUGUCAUAUUUGGAUGGAAAAUGCCUUAUCUAGUAAGAAUAGUUAAUCUUCCUCCAGUCUGAGAUGCCUGAAAACAUCCCACUUGGCUCUCCUCCAUGCAGCGGACGGCUGACUCCCAGCCCUGCUGCCACGUGCUCAGUGCAUGGGGGACAUGGGGAGUACGGGCUGGUUCCUCUAUGCCCAGAAGCACUUGGGAAGGGGCUUGUUCCUGUGCCGUGCUUUGAAAGUGGUGACCAAACCCUGUCAGCGUGUUCCUGAGACUGGGCUGCUGCCCCUCGUAUAACCACAAGUAAGUCCCGGGCAAUUAAUGAUCUGCCAGAGGUGCUCCUCGACUCGCGGUCCCGUAGCCAAAUCCUGUGUUACUCAUUAGACCACACAUCCUCUCUCCUCUCUGAGUGGCAUCCGAGCAGGCUGGUCAGGGCACAGGGAGCAAGGCGAUGUCACCUCAUGUUUAUCUAGGGAGAAGUUUCCCACACUCCUUCGUGGCUCUUCUUGUUUUGAUUCAGGGAUUUUGUUUUUCUAAAGAGUUAAAAUAAAUCUCAAAGUGCGACU